GCACCACCAGGGGUGAAGCUUGCGGUUUAAUUGGAGUCAACACCGGAAACCUUACCGGGAGCGACAGCAGAGUGAAGGCCAGAUUGAGGGUCUUGCCAGACAAGCUGAGAGGAGGUGCAUGGCCGUCGCCAGUUCGUGCCGUGAGGUGUCCUGUUAAGUCAGGCAACGAUCGAGACCCACUUCCCCUGUUGCCACUGAGGAAAAAUUCUGAUGGGCACUCUGGGGGGACUGCCGCUGAUAAAGCGGAGGAAGGAGUGGGCCACGGCAGGUCAGUAUGCCCCGAAUCUCCCGGGCCACACGCGAGCUGCAAUGGUAGGGACAAUGGGUUCCGACCCCGAAAGGGGAAGGUAAUCCUCAAACCCUGCCUCAGUUGGGAUCGAGGGCUGUAACCCGCCCUCGUGAACAUGGAAUCCCUAGUAAUCGCGCGUCAUCAGCGCGCGGUGAAUACGUCCCUGCCCCUUGCACACACCGCCCGUCGUUCCACUCGAGUGGGGUUUAUGUGAGGGCGUGGUUUUUGCCACGUUCGAACAUAGGUUCCGCAAGGGGGGUU
rnacentral:rRNA from 1 species